rnacentral:lncRNA from 10 species
ACCCACCAGCUUGUCUGCCGCCAUCUGGGAUCUUUUUCUGCCAGGUACAGUGCUGGAAGCGGGGAUACAGGGACAAAUAAGACACAGAUCCUGUUCCUAAAGAGAGUCUUUUCUAAGGCACCAACUACUUCCUUCAAGCAGCAGCCAGAGAUCUUUGCUUAAUGGCUGAGAAACACAGAGGAGAGACCCAGAGAGAAGGAGAAGGCCGCAUGAAGAUGGAGCAGAGACUGGAGUUAUUCAGCCAAGUCAAGGAAUGCCUGGAGCACCAGAAGCCGGAAGAGGCAAGGAAGGAUCCUCCCUUAGAGCAUUUGGAAGAGUGUGGCCCUGCCAACACCUUGACUUCAAACUUCUGGCCUCCAUAACUAUGAAAUAAAUUCUUGUUGUUUUAAGCCACC